UCUUUUUGCAAGGCCAACUGUACCCUACGACCAGCUGCAGGGCAAAGUGUACUUAUCGCAUUCUUAUUUUGAACUCUCGAGUUACACUUAUACUCUUUAAUACUUAAAUACGCUCCGCGGUUAACUGCUCGCGGAUCGCCUUCCCGUCCUUAUUUUUGCUGCAGUCUUUGAGGGCACCAACCUGAGUCAUGUUUAGUUGUCCAGCCUGUGCGACGUCUUUCGUACUCGUCACCCUUCUUCGCCAUAACAGCGCCAAGCCCAGCCUUCGUGUACCCGUUGCUGCCGAAGGGUUACGCAGCGCCUACGAUUUUUUCACCUGCGAAAACUGCUCUUGCACCUACUCGUUCGAACGAAGAUGCCUGGUGAACAGAUACAAGGAAUGUUGGUGCGACGCUGGAACAUACCGGCGAGGAAUUCGGGGCCCCUGUAUCAAGAAGAGGGACUGUAUCCCAGAUAUACUGCUGUAAGACAUGCAGAAAGGGCGAACGAUUGCUUCUGCAUUUGAAAAGCGUGCAGACAACUGGAGUAUGGUAGCGAGGAGCCAAAAUAAACAGCUUUAUUUCUUUA